GUUAUUUUAAUUUUAAUUGAUUUUAUUAUAUCAGUGUUUGCUAUAUUAGCCGUAUUCAAUUAGUGAAAAUUUUAUAGGAAACAGACUUAAGAUCAAAAUAGCUAUAAAUUCUUAGCAAGAAUGGUACGCCCGGGUGGACUCGAACCACUGACCCCCACCA
rfam:Gilliamella apicola strain wkB1, complete genome.